CUAAGCCAUGCGAGUCAUUGUAGCAAUACAAGGCAGACGGCUCAGUAACGCGUAGUCAAUCUACCCUAUGGACGGGAAUAACCUCGGGAAACUGAGAAUAAUGCCCGAUAGAACAUUAUACCUGGAAUGGUUUAUGUUUCAAAUGAUUUAUCGCCAUAGGAUGGGACUGCGGCCUAUCAGUUUGUUGGUGAGGUAAUGGCCCACCAAGACUAUUACAGGUACGGGCUCUGAGAGGAGUGGCCCGGAGAUGGGUACUGAGACACGGACCCAGGCCCUAUGGGGCGCAGCAGGCGAGAAAACUUUGCAAUGUGCGAAAGCACGACAAGGUUAAUCCGAGUGGUUUCUGCUAAAGAAACCUUUUGCCAGUCCUAGAAACACUGGUGAAUAAGGGGUGGGCAAGUUCUGGUGUCAGCCGCCGCGGUAAAACCAGCACCUCAAGUGGUCAGGAUGAUUAUUGGGCCUAAAGCAUCCGUAGCUCGUUUUGUAAGUUUUCGGUUAAAUCCAUGCGCUUAACGUAUGGGCUGCCGGGAAUACUGCAUAACUAGGAAGUGGGAGAGGUAGACGGUACUCGGUAGGAAGGGGUAAAAUCCUUUGAUCUAUUGAUGACCACCUGUGGCGAAGGCGGUCUACCAGAACACGUUCGACGGUGAGGGAUGAAAGCUGGGGGAGCAAACCGGAUUAGAUACCCGGGUAGUCCCAGCUGUAAACUAUGCAAACUCAGUGAUGCAUUGGCUUGUGGCCAAUGCAGUGCUGCAGGGAAGCCGUUAAGUUUGCCGCCUGGGAAGUACGUACGCAAGUAUGAAACUUAAAGGAAUUGGCGGGGGGGCACCACAAGGGGUGAAGCCUGCGGUUCAAUUGGAGUCAACGCCAGAAAUCUUACCCGGAGAGACAGCAGAAUGAAGGUCAAGCUGAAGACUUUACCAGACAAGCUGAGAGGAGGUGCAUGGCCA
rnacentral:rRNA from 1 species